rnacentral:tRNA from 1 species
GACUUCAUAGCUCAGCUGGUAGAGCGUUUACCGCGUUGAGGCAUGCUCUGGUUGUCGUUGGUUCGAAUCCAGCCGAAGUCC